rnacentral:snRNA from 1 species
AUACUCUGGUUUCUCUUCAGAUCGUAUAAAUUUUUCGCCUUUUACUAAAGAUUUCCGUGGAGAGGAACAAUUCUGAGUUUUAAAACAAUUUUUUGAGGCCUUGCACUAGCAAGGCU